rnacentral:rRNA from 1 species
UACGUAGGUGGCAAGCGUUGUCCGGAAUUAUUGGGCGUAAAGCGCGCGCAGGCGGUCCUUUAAGUCUGAUGUGAAAUCUUACGGCUCAACCGUAAGCGGUCAUUGGAAACUGGGGGACUUGAGUGCAGAAGAGGAAAGUGGAAUUCCACGUGUAGCGGUGAAAUGCGUAGAGAUCAGGGGGAACACCGAUGGCGAAGGCAGCGCUCUGGCCGACGACCGACGCUGAGGCGCGAAAGCUGGGGGAGCGAACGGG